ACAAGGCCACCCUUUGCUGAUCUAAAUGCUCUCCAAAGACCUAGUGACAUUAGCUCUGGUCGUGACAAGACAACUGUGCGUGGUGGUGGGGAAAAUGGCAGCGGCUCUGGGAAGAUCAUCUUGCUCACCAACACAGAAAGAUGUAUAGAAGCUUAUUCAUCUUCUAUUUGAAGAGGAAAAUUACCCAGAACAGGCCCAGGCCAGCAGGCACCAGAAGAUGGAAAGUUAUUGGCAAUAGCAAGAGAUAACCAGAGACCCAGCUGGGAGCAAGAGAUAACAAGCCAUUUCUGCUUCUGUAGACGGGCUUUCUACCAUAAGCUUCUUGCACUGCCCUAUCCACUGCCCUAACCGAUGUUCCAGCCUAAAGCACCCCCGCCCCAAUUUAAACCCACCUACCAGUAGUCAACACAGUCCUUGGAACCUGACCCCCUGCACUGCCCUGUAAAAGCUCUGUAACCCCACUACCCAGGGCCCAGAAUUUCAAGGGCAAGCUCGUCUGGGUCCACCCGUAUAAAAUAAACCCAAGUUCUC